GAGGGGAAUGUGGAAGAAGAAUACAGAGGAGGUACCAGCUUGAUUUUCCUUUUCCUGUUGAGCUGCUCCAGUGUCAGAUUUUCAGCUCCAGAGUGGUUGUGUAAAUCAGCUGAAGGCAGCAGGAUUUGCCCCUGCUCUGCAGAGCCCUGGGUAUGCGUGCACAUGUGAGUAAUCCCGAUGGAAUCAAGGACUUGCAGGAGGAGCGGGCACAUGAGUAAUGUUUUGUAGAUACAAGGGCUGGAAUCUGGGCCACAUGGCUCAGGACAAAGAGACAUGUCAGUUCUGCAUAAAUAACACAGGCACUCAGCUUCCAAACUUCAACCUACUUAGCAAGUGCCAGAGUCACUCUUUCCAUCCCACGACUCGGGAAACAGGACCAGGACAUCCCGGUGACCUUCGCUGGAGCUCGGGUGAGCCCAGGGGCUGGGUGCUCCUGGCACCCAGGAGAGCCACAAGAAAGCAGCAUGAUCCCCACACUGCCAUGGAACAGGAACCUGCUCUCACCUGGCAGUGCCUUUGAAAUGAAGUGCUGGAAUCUGCCCCAACAUGUGGAGGAAGAGAUUUCUGACCAGGUUGUGGGUGAGACCUGGGAAGGGGCCUCAGGUCAGCAGUGUCCCCCACUAACACAUGGCCUGCCCAUGUUGUCCCAAAGAAAUCACUCCUUUUGGGACUGCCUGGUGGUAACCACUUUACUAAUGGUGGUUUGGGCAAAGAUAAUUCCAGUGGUGUCCAUCUUCCUCCAGCCCCACCCACGCUUCUGUCUCCUCCUUCCUUGUGGCCCCCCCUGGUUUUUAGGUUGUGGACACAUAAGUGGAAUUGGCUCUUGGCACAGGUGCAGGAUGGAGAUGGGAGUGGUGGAGAGCCAUGUCCCACAGAUCAGACACUGCCAAGACAGACACUCUCUCCAUCCAAGACAAAUCCCACUCUGGAAACAGCUGCUGCUGACAGCAGCUCCCACUCUCCUGGUGGUGGUGGAUGCUGAGUCCAUGGUGCCGUCUGCCACGCUGACCGUGUGAUAUCUCAAGAGAGAGGGAGCAAGGGGAGAUGCCAGACUAAUAUUUGGGCUUGCUUUAUUAUACCUUUGCCUUCCUAAUUUUUUUCCCCAGCAUCCAUCACCUGUUAUAAUUCACGAGGCGAAUGUGACCAACCUGAAUUCCUACUGAUUUUGUGAGCUCUGCAAGUGCCUCAGAGAGAGGUGGGACUCUCAAGAAGUACCAAGGAGAGCAGGCUGCUGAGGGCUGAGGAAUGGCAGCAAUGCCCACAUGUUUUCUGUUUGUGACACCGUGGCUGAUGGGAAUCAUUUAAUCACACAGUGAGACCGGUUCACUCUACCUUUACACCAGUCCUUAAGAUGUUUCCCUUAUCUCUGACUUUCUGCAGACGGCUGGGGCUUUCCCUGCCUGGUUCCUCUGUCACCUACAGAUGGCUUUCAGUGCUUAAUCCUUGGGAAAUGUGAGUUUCUCCAUGACUCAGCCACAGUUUCUCUGCUUGGCUGUCACACGGUGUUUCAUCUUUUCACUUCUCAGUCCACAUCUGUACAAAGAGGUCAGUAACGAGAGGAAAACAAGCAUAGCAGGGCCAGCUACACACAGAUCCCCAAGUGUUGAGGGGCCACAUAAUUUCUUAAAUGAAUUGGUCACAUGAUACUCAUGAUACUCUUUUUUUUUCUUUUUCCUCCUUUACUGGGUAAUUGAAACUUCAUAGACAUUAAGAAUCUGAAACAUGCAUAACAGUUCUUUAUGUACAAACAGCUUUUUCUCUGCAAACUGAGGGGUUUGUAGGGAAGAGAGUUCUGUGAACACUGGAGCAAGCAAGCACCUGUUUCCCACAAGCGUUGCAAUUCCCACAACUGGCAGGAACAGUUGAUGUUCAGGGUAUAAAUGCCAAUUUUCCAUCUCUACGUCGCAGGAUUAUCUGCGUUGUCCCCAGUUAAACCUCCUCACUAAAUAUAUAACUAAAUAUUUCCAAAUGACCAUGUCCUGCUCCCUCUAAUAAGUUCUGCCUUCAUCUGGACAAACUUCUGCCCAAGUCUUUGCAUUUCCUAUAGACUCAACACUUGAAGACCUCAAUUAAUCUCCUAGACCAGGAGGUCUCCUACUAUAGGAGACAGGAGCCCCAAGAGCAUGGGUGGGUGAACUGGUCCCCGGGAUCUUAUUGAAUGGGAGACACAUGGCCAUCAGAUUGGCACCAUGCCAAUGGAAAGGUCCCUGCUGAAGCCAGGGUGUGUAAUUCGACCUUGUAAAUUCAGUAACAUGGGAAGCAAUUACACAGAAAUCCAAGCUCCAGCAGGCAAGGCUGCACUCUGCUGCUCUUGGGCGAACAACACACAGUGAAGGUCGGGAUUGAGCUGAUGCUGAGCUGGCAGCAGUCCUCAGUCCUCUGGAAUUCAUGUCCUGUCUUCAGAAAGGAGGAAUUAUGUAUAAAAAUGUCUUCUGGUCACCCAUUUCCACGCUGCCACUCAGCCCUGACCCAUUAUUUGGGAAAUUGCUACUUGAGGAAGGAAAAGAUAAAUCAGUGUACAUUGGAAAAACAACUCCAAACUCUGUCUCAAGGCAGGGAAUCAGAGGAGAGCAGACUCCAAACUUUUCUACUAGUUCAGUAAAAUGUUGUGAUAUGAUCAACUAAGCAGGGGAAGUCAAAGACAAGCUGCCUUGCAGGCAUUGCUGGGCAAUAUGAAGAGACCCCUGGGAAGAGACUUUCUGGCAGAAAGGACUGGGCUCAAGGAGGUAGAAGUGACCCUUUCUCAGAUGUUAUUUUCCUUAACUACAUUCAGCACCAUCUGAUGGAGCUCACUGAUCACACCAUCACACUUCCCACCGCGGGGAGAUCGUGUGUUACAGACACUGGAACAUGGAGAGCUGCUCCUGGAAGCCAAGAGAGCAGCUGGGAAAACACCACAGCCAAGGCAGCUCUGCACAGGCACCACCAGACGGGGUCUGGACAUGGGGACCCAGCCUCCAAUGACCCUGCACCACACUCCAGGGACAGCACAGCAUCACAUCAUGGCAGGAAAGCUGAUUUUGGGGAAAUGGAAAUAACACCAGCGCAAAUCACUCCCAACUGAAUUGUUAAUGGGCGAUUCAGACACCAUCAAAGUCAGGAGCACAGCAGGUUUGUGGCCAAAUUCACUCACUCCAUUCUCACACUGGGAGGGGAGAGGGUCAGAAGUAAAGAAAUGUUAUUCUGUGUUUGAAGGAAACACUCAACCAGAGACCUAUUUUUCUUUCUAUAAGAGAGUAAAUUUGCCAUAGCUGCAAAUGAACUGCAGGGAUCUACUACAAAUCAGGAUAAAAAAAUAAUUUUAUUUCAUUGCAAUCAGAAAUUUCAGAAUUUAAGGAGUAGAAAGUAUUGCUUUAAAUAAUGACAUCAUUUUAUAAUCUUAUACUUAAAAAUCUCUGCCUGUAAAUAUGGAAACAAAGGACAUUAUGAGCUUUUGAGGAGAACAUAAUAGUCUAAGACCCAGGGAGACUUCUGGUUCUCUGAAGCUCUUAAGUGGUCACCUAAACAUCUUUUAAACUCUGGCCUGCCUGCAUUUUUACAGGUGGCAGAGAUUUUCUACUUGUUCCUCAUGCCCAGAGUUCACCUUUCAGUGCUCCACUUGUUCCCUGUACACCUUGAGUCCUGGCUGUCACUCUUUGCCUCUGUGUCCUGAGCCCCUCUGAGCAGUCUUCAUGUCUCUGGGCCACAGCGUCUCUGUGUUUCAUACCUGAACCUAUCCCUUUCCUUCCAUAUCUGCACUUAUAAAGUAUCUCUUCUUUUCUGGUAUUACUUACUCCUAAUCACUCUAUAAUUACAUUGUGGAGCCCUGUCAAGCUCCCAGGAACAAAGCUCAUAUGAAGGAUGCAAAAAUGGACCUCUAUCUCAGGGGAAAUUGUGCUGUGGCAGAGAUGAGGAAAUUGUUUGAUCAUUAGCCUUAUCUAGAACAAAUUGCACAUAAUAACUUUUAAUAUUUUCCAUCAGAUUUGGUUCCUCAGACAGACACAAUUUUUUUAAUAUUAAGCUGUAUUUAACUGAGUCAUCUAAGUAUAUCUGAGUCCCCAAAAUAAGAUACUUAAAUGUGCAUUAAGAAAUAAACAAAUCACUAGUCCACUGAAUGUGGCCCUUGUUUCACUGCCCUUGACAUAGGCUUUAGAACUCAAAACUUUUGUAUUGACUUAAGAUAAAGGCUGCAAGACCAUAAGCAAUGCAUUGUUCUUAUGGUACCCAAUAAUCUAGUCCUUUUAUUUAAAUAUGAUAUAAGUAAUCCCAGAGCCAAUGAAAGCAUGGAAUGACUAGGUGCUACGUUCCACAAAUACUGUAUUGCAUAGAAGAGUUUAACUCCUUAUCUGAAAAACAGUUGGCUGUGACCGUAUUAACAAUUAUAUUAUCAGUUUUCCUUGGCAACAUUUAUGUGUCAAAAUGUAUCAUGGGUUUCACAGCUUAGUUCCAGAAAUAGGCUGUGGUCCGGGUGACAUCAUACCUUCCCCCAUAAAACCCUUUUUUUUUUUUUUUUUUUUCCUUUUCAUCCUUCCAUAAACACUUGUUCUCCCAGCCCUGCGCUGGACCCACUCAGGCCAUUAAGGCAUAACGAGCUCUUCCCAGCUCUCAGCAUCCCAGUCCUGCAGGAGGGUUGAAAAGUUUACCAAAACAGCGCAUUUUGUGCCGGAGAGCCGGAGACUUCGCGGCUCUGCCGUGGCGGGGCAGGAGAAGAGCAGAGGCCGCGCUAAAACCGGAGGCUCAGACCAGCUGAGAAGCUGGUGUGAGGGAGCUCUGGAGCACCACCGACUCUGUUCCAGUGACACUUUGCUGUGGGGGUCCAGGACAGGCAGAAGUAGCAGUUGAUUCAGUUUAUUCUGGGCUCUUUUUUAAGAUGAGAUGACCUGAAUUAUGCCUAAUUGUUGGCAGUUGGCCUCAGCUGCUUUACAGGGUUCUCUGGUAGCUCUGGGCACUCUUGCUGGGGACAUCAGCAGCAGAAGCCUCCCUUGAUACAGAAGUGCUGGAAAUGGACAUUCAGCGCUACUUUUGACUUUAAAGGGAGCUGAAAUUCAAGAAAAAAGUAGGGAACCUGUCAGGCUUGUAGGCAAAGGAAACCAAGCUGGGCCAUGGAGGGAUCCCACACAGCUGGCUGCAGCCAGAAAAAGCUGCUCCUCUGCCUCCUGGGCUGCUCUCCUGUGUCUGAGACUUCCCAUCUCUAGGGAGUCAGGCUGGAAAGGAGUUUGCUGUGGAAGCUGCUGCUGCUGCAAAGUUAAGAUCUGAUUACAGGGAGAAACAAAGCAGAGCCAGCUAACAGCUCUCUUCCUCCUCCUGCUUCUGCCACUUACUCCUGGCUGCUCUUCUCCCACAUAAGGAUGGAGAAAUAUGGUUUGCAAUUGUAUGGAAACUCCUUGUAACCUCUGACACUGCUGCCAGCUCCUUGUAUCUUAGAAGCCUACUUAAAUUACAAUAAAACAGCUCACAAGUCUGCCCUUCUUCCUCCUGUUUCCUGUAACUAGAAUUAAGCUCUGCCCUGACUCCCAUAAAAACCGUGGGUUUAUGAGCUACCUGCACGUCAAGAAAUUCCUCGUGGGAGAUCCAUUAAUGAAUGAGAAACAGCAGAACUGAGAGAGCUGGGGAAGAGUCUGCACCUGGAGGAAAGGUCUGAUGGAAUCAUCCCUGAAUGGUGAUGGUGAAGGCUGGAGUGUGCCCUUGGAUGUCCCUGUGAAAUGGAACUGUCUGCACACAGCCCUGGGCAGCCUAAGUUAGCUGACCCUGCCUGAGGCUGGGUUGGACAUGAUGACCUCCAGAGCCCCCUUCCAACCUCAACCAUUCUGUGACUUUGUGAGCCCAUUGAUGAACUUUGUUUUGUCCAAUUCAUGCAAUUUAUCACUGCCUUCGUAUCUCAUGGCUGUAGCCUCUAUUUCCUACAUUUAGCUACCCAUUUUAUGUAUUAGGAAAAGAAAAAGACCUCCCUGCCUCACAGAUGCCUUCUGCUGAGACUUGCCCCAAACGCCUCACCCCUUGACAGACCUGUAAAUCUGAUGGCACUCUCCAUUUGGCUCAUAUCUUUGGCUUGGGUGUGGAGGCUCUGUGGGGAGAUGAGGGACUGGGAACUGGAAUAUUUUUUCUAUCUUGCUCCCUGGGGUUAAAUAUAUUGCUUUCCCUUGGUUUAGACCGGCAAUUUUCCCACUGACACCCUGGGUGGUAACAUGGCCACACUGAAUUCAGACUCCCCCUUGGGCUCACUGGAGACAGAACUUCAGCCUGUGCUUUCUGUCGCAUUGCCCUAGGUUAGCUCUAACAUUUAGGACCUUUGAAAAUGACACACAGGAGCCCUGAAGCUCCUCUUCCCAGCAAAACAACUGAUUUAGAAAGAUCUGGUCUUUGACUCCUGGAAAAUUAUUAUCUGUAUUCAGAGGGAUGCAAAUUCUAACCACUGAAGAUGAUCUGAUCUCCUCUAUGACUCACUCAAUGUCAUUUAACUGCAGAAUUCUCUAAUUCCUUGAUUAAGAAAAGUCUUAUCUGUAGGCAUCUAGUCACCAUCUGAAGGCUUGAGGAGACAGACAGAUAAAAAACACUCCUUCAUCUCUUUGCUGUAUUUCUUUCUUAGACAUCAGUCUGUUACAUCCUCUUUACAACCUGUCAAUGAUUACAGUAAUGGGAGAAUAUGAAAUAUAGGGACAGCUUAGUGAUUUAGAAUCAGAAUGACUGGUAUCCCUCAAAGAUAAGGGCAUGUGAAACUUAUCAAUAUGUAUUAGAGUGUUUUUAAUUUGGAGAGAGAAUUCCAAUAGGGUCAUUUGGGAAAAUAAACAAACUUGCUUUCACAUUGCUGAGAUUUUGACUUUGUUUUUCAGUUAUCAAACACGCCAGUCAGCCCAGAGACUAAUGAGAAUUCCACCCACCAAAACCAAUUUAUGUUCAUAAUGAGUAGAAAUGGUUGAAAAUUCUGAGUUUUGAGUGCUUGAUAAAAGUGUGUCAGUCACUUCAUUUUUCAAACAGGAAAGAAUCGAUUCUGAUAUAAAUAUGGUCAAAGACUCUUUUCCAUGCAAAUUUCCUGUGUAACUAAUAACAUGUUGGGUUGAGUUUGUUCAUUUUUUAAGUACAGAGGUCUUCACAAAAGUUGUGGUUGAUCCUGAAUUAGGAUAUGGUUAAUAUAAAUGUAACACCCAGAGAAAGAAAGCCAUAAAUCAGACUGUCUGUUUAUGAUCAUAAAAAAGUUAUUACCUUUGCACUAAUGCUUUGUCUUCACUAGAAGGGAAGAAGAAGGAGCUAAUUUGAAAAAGACAACCAAAAAUUUACUUCAAAAUUAGUUGGUUGCAGCUCAUGCACCAAUCCAAACUCUGCUAGCAUUUGGCUAUUUUAGUGUAAAAAUAUAUAUUUUUUCCUCCUGUCAAGUAAUCCUAAGAUCAGGAGGAAGAUAUGGAAAAGGUCAAUAAGGAUCAAUUUUUGAGAGGGACAGAUUUCCCAUUAAUGAGUGCAAUAGACUGAUCACUACAGAAAGAAUACAAUUUAGUGAUUAAAUCUAAGAAGUAUGUAUGUUUUUCUUGUCAAAUGUCAUUCCCUUUAAAACUUGGCAAUAGUAACUUAUUGCAAUUUUCUUUCAAGUGAAUUUCAGCUGGGCUGUGACUCUGUGUGUAAUCGUUUUCUCAUGAUGGUAGUAAAAUUUGACAUAUCAACUGUAUAUUUAUAAUGGAAAUAAACUUCAUUAUGAGUCCCCAAAGGGAUCUGAUCUAAAUCUCACUGAAUGAAAAAUGGAAAGACUCCCAUUGACUUCUCUGAUCUUUGGUCAAACUAUAGCUGUAGAAUUCUCUCACUUUCCCCCUUUAUGCUGUGUUUUUGGAAACCACAUGUAUUUUAAAUCUGUGUAUCCUAGUCAUAUCUUGUUUUGUUCCCAUUGCCUCGCAGAGCAUUAGAGGUGCAACUUGCAAUGUAAAACUGAAAAAUUAUCAUCUUGUUUCUGGGCUGUUUUCUUGGCAGCAGAGUGUACAAGUAUUACAGGGCUAAAAUCCCAAGUUUACAUUAGGCUGCACAGAGCAGAUUUCACAGGAAGGUAACUGCUGACUUCUGUAGCAUCAUGACCAGUUUCAGGGGAGUAGAAUUUGGCCCCAUUUCUGCAAAAUAACUGUGGCUUUCCUUAGCAGUCUGAUCAUGUCAUAAUUCACUUUAAUGCUCAUGUAUACUGGCCCAAGGGCUUAUAUAAUUAUUAUGCCUGUCUCAUCAUGAAAGAUGGAUAAGUCACACCUGAAUACAAGAGUAGGAACUUGUUGUUUUGUUUAGAUUUUAAACAUUUUAAAAUCAUUAUUAAAUGAGCAAAUUACACAUGCCCUGCAGAAGAGGGUACAAGUCAAAGAUCUCUGGGCACUUCUUGCUACUCCUGCUAUGGAUUUUGAAGAGUAAUAUUUCAUUAGAAGGAAACAUGGAUUAAUAGGAUUGUGGUGAGUUUAUGUGCAUAUAAUUCAGGGAGUCAAAAACAAAGAGAAAUUCAUUGUGAACUGCAUUCCAGUGGGAAUUCAGAAUAUGUCAUAGAUCAAUUAAUACUUUACUGUAAGCCACAGGAUGUCAUAUUCAUGGGGGACCCUAAUUAUGCAGAUAUGUGUCAGGAGUGUUAUUUACACAAAGCCUUCUGAAUAACACAGAUGAUCAUUUCUAGUUAAGAUAAAUUCCCAGGAGAUGGGUCUCCCCAGAGUGGGAAGCAGAGAUUCCCACAUUAGCUGAGCCUGCAACACACAUUAAAGUGACAAAAAGUUAAAUAUUCUAUGAAAAAAGUGUCAAGGGAGAUGAAGAUAUAUAAACCCUAGGGAAGAGGGUAAAAAGGAUCUCUUUCACUUCCACAGCCUUAUACCAAGAUCUUUGGAGGUUCACAAAUGGAAGCAUUAAAACCCUGGACUGUGGUAAAAUGAAGAAGAUGCUGUAGGCGUGGGUUAAAUCAAGAUUCCUCAUGAAGGAAAAGUGCCAUGCUGGUGGAAAAGCACUCAAGGGCACUGAGAAAGCUGUUUCCAGUCACUCCACACAAAUUGCACAGUUCCCUUCCUGCCUCACUGGAUACAUUCAGACCUUCACUGUUAACUGGUAUAUAUUUAACUUUGUGGGGUUUUUUCCUGAUUAAUUUAAUACUUGAGGAGAUAACUAUAUUAAACACUAUGAGUACUGGUUAUUGCAGGGACUGAAAAGAGUAGGAGUAUGGGACUGCAAAAGGCAGUUUCUUCCUUUUAUUUUUCCUAUACUCUAUGUUAAUGACCUUAAUUUUCUUUCUUCUCCAGCCAAAUCAGCAGAAUUUGUAUUAAGAUAGGUACUAAAUGAUUGCAUUAUUCAAGGCCAGCUCCACUCCUGGGGUCACUGUUACAGCUGGCUGACUGUAGAGCUAUAACAUCCUCCCUCCUCACAAAGAACACGUGACAAUUAGAUCAGCUUUACCUCCUCUGAGGAAGAGGACGAGACAAGGGCUGAGUGUUCACAUCCUGCCUUCUCUGACUCAGGAAAAACCAAAUUUUGAGCUGCCACUCUGGCAACUUCUGCUCCUCUGCUGCUUUCACAUGGUCAGUUAACACUGAGAUCUACAGCUUUUCUUUCUCUGUCACCCUGAUGGUAGAUGUCAUGUCCCAAAGGCUUUGGGAAUUACAAAUAUUAUAAAAUCCAAAGUCCUCAUUUGUCACAAAUAAAAACAGAUAAAAGCCUAGGAGGCCAGAAGUGCUCCAUUGCUGACUGUGUUGAUUGAGUUGUCCCUGUCAGCUAGGGUCCUGUACUUCCUUCUUUUUCCAUGUAAGGGAAGGUUUCAGCUGGAGGACACUUGGGUUGAUGCUAAUUGACCCAUCCUGGCUGCAAGAGCUUUUAUCUUUGUGGCAAAAUUAAUCCUAAAUCAAUAUCAUCCAUUCAGCAUUUACUUUCAACCCAACCCAAAGUGAAAGCUCAGUUUUAGGUAAGGCUGUGCUCUACUUUAUGCUGCAACAGUGCUCAGAGAGGCUACAGCAACAUUCCUGAAACCAGCCUUCCAUAA